AUGCUGGAGGUAUCAGAAGUGCGAAUGCUGACAUAAGUAACGAUAAAGCGGGUGAAAAGCCCGCUCGCCGGAAGACCAAGGGUUCCUGUCCAACGUUAAUCGGGGCAGGGUGAGUCGACCCCUAAGGCGAGGCCGAAAGGCGUAGUCGAUGGGAAACAGGUUAAUAUUCCUGUACUUGGUGUUACUGCGAAGGGGGGACGGAGAAGGCUAUGUUGGCCGGGCGACGGUUGUCCCGGUUUAAGCGUGUAGGCUGGUUUUCCAGGCAAAUCCGGAAAAUCAAGGCUGAGGCGUGAUGACGAGGCACUACGGUGCUGAAGCAACAAAUGCCCUGCUUCCAGGAAAAGCCUCUAAGCAUCAGGUAACAUCAAAUCGUACCCCAAACCGACACAGGUGGUCAGGUAGAGAAUACCAAGGCGCUUGAGAGAACUCGGGUGAAGGAACUAGGCAAAAUGGUGCCGUAACUUCGGGAGAAGGCACGCUGAUAUGUAGGUGAAGUCCCUCGCGGAUGGAGCUGAAAUCAGUCGAAGAUACCAGCUGGCUGCAACUGUUUAUUAAAAACACAGCACUGUGCAAACACGAAAGUGGACGUAUACGGUGUGACGCCUGCCCGGUGCCGGAAGGUUAAUUGAUGGGGUCAGCGCAAGCGAAGCUCUUGAUCGAAGCCCCGGUAAACGGCGGCCGUAACUAUAACGGUCCUAAGGUAGCGAAAUUCCUUGUCGGGUAAGUUCCGACCUGCACGAAUGGCGUAAUGAUGGCCAGGCUGUCUCCACCCGAGACUCAGUGAAAUUGAACUCGCUGUGAAGAUGCAGUGUACCCGCGGCAAGACGGAAAGACCCCGUGAACCUUUACUAUAGCUUGACACUGAACAUUGAGCCUUGAUGUGUAGGAUAGGUGGGAGGCUUUGAAGUGUGGACGCCAGUCUGCAUGGAGCCGACCUUGAAAUACCACCCUUUAAUGUUUGAUGUUCUAACGUGGACCCGUAAUCCGGGUUGCGGACAGUGUCUGGUGGGUAGUUUGACUGGGGCGGUCUCCUCCUAAAGAGUAACGGAGGAGCACGAAGGUUGGCUAAUCCUGGUCGGACAUCAGGAGGUUAGUGCAAUGGCAUAAGCCAGCUUGACUGCGAGCGUGACGGCGCGAGCAGGUGCGAAAGCAGGUCAUAGUGAUCCGGUGGUUCUGAAUGGAAGGGCCAUCGCUCAACGGAUAAAAGGUACUCCGGGGAUAACAGGCUGAUACCGCCCAAGAGUUCAUAUCGACGGCGGUGUUUGGCACCUCGAUGUCGGCUCAUCACAUCCUGGGGCUGAAGUAGGUCCCAAGGGUAUGGCUGUUCGCCAUUUAAAGUGGUACGCGAGCUGGGUUUAGAACGUCGUGAGACAGUUCGGUCCCUAUCUGCCGUGGGCGCUGGAGAACUGAGGGGGGCUGCUCCUAGUACGAGAGGACCGGAGUGGACGCAUCACUGGUGUUCGGGUUGUCAUGCCAAUGGCACUGCCCGGUAGCUAAAUGCGGAAGAGAUAAGUGCUGAAAGCAUCUAAGCACGAAACUUGCCCCGAGAUGAGUUCUCCCUGAC
rnacentral:rRNA from 1 species